GGGCCACCAGCCCUCUAGCAUGUGCUGGAGGGAGGAGACUGGGAAACACGCCUUCUCCCAGAGAGGAAAAGCUUCAGGCAAACAGGAAGAGGUAUGGCAAAGCAAAAGCAUGUCAGGGCAAUGUGACCGAAGGCACAAAGAUGGUGUUCUGCAAACCAUGAUAACAAACGGAGGUUGGCUACCUUAUAACACUUGACUCAGACCCUUUGAUAAAGAUAAGUAUCCCCUUUUCCCUUUUGAUUACACCUGGAUCUUGUUCUUGAAGGACAAGAAGGAGGAGGAAAGAAUUAGUCCCUGUAAGAGACAGUAUGCUGAUCCAGAUAGACUAUGGGUCUGGGUCAGUGGAAGUGGUUUGGUAUUCUUCUAUGUGCUACAGGUCUCUGGCAUCAGGAGCCAGCAGGGGCUGGAUGCUCCCUGAAGAACAGGGAGUGCCAUAACACAGCCAGCAGAGCAGGGACCUCACUGGCCAGGGCUCCAUCCCACAGGAUCUGAACAAGGCAAGCAGGGCAGGCCUGGAGGUGGCAGCUGGAACCAAGAGAGAAUCCAGAUUGGUGGACAAGUCCAUGGCAGUGGGAUAGGUCUGAGGUCAAGAUGGGAACAUAAAUUAGUGAGUCAGGUCUGGUGACAGCAAUCAGGGACAGACACACUCCUGUCAUCAGCAGGCAAGUCCCUAUAACACUGAGGGCUGGCCAGGAAGCUGUUCAGCAGGUCCUGGGUCAGUGGGAUACAGACAUGGCUGUAGCUGUAGCUCAAGCAUAGCCAAGCACUGGAGCCUCACCUGAAAUGCAGCUCCCCUGGGAGGGGGAGGUCUGACCAUGCUGAAGUCUCCCUGCAGACUUGCCUUCAGGGUCACCAAAGGGAAGGGGGGCAGCCCUCAGCUGUGCUAUCUCUAGGUUGGCUGCAAACCCAGGGUGCCAGACCUCCAGGAAGGGGGAUGAUGUUCUUGGGGCCCUUGCCUCUGGCUGUGUGGAGGGCAUAUAUUUCUUAACAGGACCUGUUUUUCCAGUAUAAACAAAGCCCUGGGUUGUGAGUGUCUCAGGGGAAGGAGGAACUGUGCUGAACCACAGGCUCACAAGAGUGUGGUUUUGGGUUGUUGUGGGUUUGGGUUUUUUUCCUCUACAGCACAAAGAAAAUCUCAUUGCUAGUGGGGAAAAAAAAAUACAUAAAGAAAUUACAUUUCUCCUAGCAACUAGGGCUGCAAAAACAUCCAGGAUAAAGGAAAAAUCUUAAUUACAAAGGAAUUCCCCAAAUCAUACUAGCUUAGAAGAGGAAAGAGUAUAAAUGUAUAACAGACCACAUUGUUUGGCAACCUGAUGAUUUUAAAUCACUGCUGUUUGCAUAUGUAGUCUCUGUCUUAUGUAAGCUCCUCUGUGAGUUAAUAGAUGCUGUAGAUGCUCAGCUGCCUUCUGCAGAGAUAAUGUCACAUUUUCAGACUGCUGUAAAUGCAGUGUGAAGAGCAACAAGAAGUGAAAGGCAGACAGGCUUUAAAGACAUCUGAUAGAACCUACUCUCACUUUUCUCAUAUGUGGCUAAAGUAUUUGAAAAUAGGCUGCUUGUAUGAGAAGUGUCUCUGGCUUCUACUAUAUUUGCUUGCAUUAGGUAUAUAACAUUUAUAUUUGUUUGUAAUUAAUAAUAGCAGAGAGGUUGAAGAGACCUUGUUCUUCCAGACAGUUUGAAGCCAUGUUAGGAGAUAAUUCCAGAUGUGCCCUUGAUUUAUACUUUUGGGUUCCAAAUUUCCAAAUAAACAGAGAUUAAUGAAUCCAGUGCAUUGCCUUGCAUUAACUUCUCUUCCCAUAGGCUGAACUCCAAUGUUCGCUUUCAGGUUGUGUGUGGUAUCUAUGUUGAGUGCCUAGAUGGAAACUGAACCCUGGGUACAACCUCUGCAUUUUCAGCACUUCAUCAGAGGCAAUUGGUGGUAGUAUUACUCUAUCACAUUUUUCUCCCCUCAUGAUUUCAGUGUUCUUUUCGUAUCACAUGCAACACAAUUCCUUCCCUCAAUACAUGAACCAUUACCACCUGCACCUUCACGUGAAUCUUCUUACAGUGAUGUUGGACAAAAGCAGAAUUACACUGAAGAGGAACUUAAGCAACAGGAAAUCUUGGUAAAAGAGAAUUUUUCUUUUUAAGAAAGGAAAAAGUUUUGAAUGAAAGUCUG